AACGAACGCUGGCGGCAUGCCUAACACAUGCAAGUCGAACGAGAUCUUCGGGUCUAGUGGCGCACGGGUGCGUAACGCGUGGGAAUCUGCCCUUUGGUUCGGAAUAACAGUUGGAAACGACUGCUAAUACCGGAUGAUGACGAAAGUCCAAAGAUUUAUCGCCAGAGGAUGAGCCCGCGUAGGAUUAGCUAGUUGGUGUGGUAAAGGCGGCCCAAGGAGACGAUCCUUAGCUGGUCUGAGAGGAUGAGCAGCCACACUGGGACGGAGACACGGCCCAGACUCCUACGGGAGGCAGCAGUGGGGAAGAUUGGACAAUGGGCGAAAGCCUGGUCCAGCAAUGCCGCGUGAGUGAUGAAGGCCUUAGGGUUGUAAAGCUCUUGUACCCGGGAUGAUAAUGACAGUACCGGGAGAAUAAGCUCCGGCUAACUCCGUGCCAGCCGCCGCCGUAA
rnacentral:rRNA from 1 species